ACAAUGCCUUAGUAGCCACUGGAUUUACUAUGAAAUCUGAUGGCAACAAUGUCUGCAACUAGGACUACUAGACCCUGAAAUAAGGCACUCUGAUGGGUAUGCCAUCUUGAAUUUGGUCAUUGACCAGGAGAAGCAGGUGGAAUCCUAAAAUGGCUGCUGUCAUCAUUCCUCACUCACAAGCUACAUCCCAGAGGGACUGUCUCUCAACCUGAACUCUCCAUUCUGGAAUGGAUCCUCAUGGCUGAUUUACUGAUUUAAUAAAAGCCAUGUAGACUAA